CACGGGGGGGGCGAGCGUUAUUCGACAUUACUGGGCGCAAAGGGUACGUAGGCGUUCUUUAUCAUUACGGUUUGAAAGGCUAGCUGUUUUUGUUUAGUUUACUAGUAUUUUAUAUAGAAUAGAGAUAUUGUCAAGUCAGUAGAAUUGCCAAAAGGAGGGGGUAGAAUCCAACGAUCUUGCCAAGAAUGCCAACUGUGGAGACAAAAUGGCUAGUCAAUAUCUGACGUUGAGGUACGGAGGUUUUGGGGAAUCGAAACAGG
rnacentral:rRNA from 1 species